rnacentral:RNase_MRP_RNA from 1 species
GCGCCGUCCGAAGAACCGCUAUCGCAGCACACGCACAGGGAGCUUUUUGCUCUCUUUCUUCGCUGUGGGGAAAGUCCCCGGAGAUGCAGAAUAUGUCCUCGUCCAGCUUUGCGGAAAGCGACCGACUCCAAGUACGACGGAACCGGACGAGGAUCACGGGAAACAUCUGCUCGGGUCUGUCUUGACAAGAAACGUAGCUUGUUCUCGCUCUUCUGCUGUGCAGUUCACGUGUCGACCGCUCGGUGAAGGCGUCGAGGUGCGAAGAUACGAGCACUUCGAUUGCUCGGGUGGUUGGUACGUGGUUGUACAAUUCGUUGCUCAUAGAUACAGUUAUGCGGUUGUGGAUUCCUUCGGGUCCAUGAACGGAAUGGGGCUUACUCUCGUUCGGCG